AACGAACGCUGGCGGCAUGCCUAACACAUGCAAGUCGAACGAGACCUUCGGGUCUAGUGGCGCACGGGUGCGUAACGCGUGGGAACCUGCCCUUAGGUUCGGAAUAACUCCCCGAAAGGGGUGCUAAUACCGGAUAAUUUCUUCUGACCAAAGAUUUAUCGCCUUUGGAUGGGCCCGCGUUGGUUUAGCUUGUUGGUAGGGUAAAAGCCUACCAAGGCUACGAUCCAUAGCUGGUCUGAGAGGCUGAUCAGCCACACUGGGACUGGGACACGGCCCAGACUACUACGGGAGGCAGGAGUGGGGAAUAUUGGAAAAUGGGCGAAAGCCUGAUCCAGCAAUGCCGGGUGAGUGAUGAAGGCCUUAGGGUUGUAAAGCUCUUUUAGCCGGGAUGAUAAUGACAGUACCGGGAGAAUAAGCACCGGCUAACUCCGUG
rnacentral:rRNA from 1 species